rnacentral:pre_miRNA from 1 species
AUAAAGUACAGUUUUACACUAUUUAUAUUCAACGUUUGACUGUUUAUCUUAUUUAAAAUUUAUUUUAUGAUUAGUAUUAUUAUUAUUAUUAGAUGAUAAAAUAUAAAUAAUACUUUAUGUGUAACUAAUUUUUUAACUUUUUUAAAUAAAACGAAUGGUUAAAUGUUUAAUAUUGAUAUCUAUGACUGCACUUAUU